rnacentral:rRNA from 1 species
AUCCUGGCUCAGGAUGAACGCUAGCGGCAGGCUUAACACAUGCAAGUCGAGGGGGUAUAGUUCUUCGGAGCUAGAGACCGGCGCACGGGUGCGUAACGCGUAUGCAAUCUACCUUUUACAGAGGGAUAGCCCAGAGAAAUUCGGAUUAAGACCCCAUAGCACUUAAGAAUGGCAUCAUUCAUAAGUUAAAGGUUACGGUACAGGAUGGGCAUGCGUCCCAUUAGUUAGUUGGUAAGGUAACGGCUUACCAAGACAAUGAUGGGUAGGGGUCCUGAGAGGGAGAUCCCCCACACUGGUACUGAGACACGGACCAGACUCCUACGGGAGGCAGCAGUGAGGAAUAUUGGUCAAUGGGCGCAAGCCUGAACCAGCCAUGCCGCGUGCAGGAAGACGGUCCUAUGGAUUGUAAACUGCUUUUAUACAGGAAGAAACAACUCUACGUGUAGAGUCUUGACGGUACUGUAGGAAUAAGGAUCGGCUAACUCCGUG